ACAAGAACCGUCGAGAUGGAGCAAAACUCAAAAACUUAGUCUCAGUUCGGAUUGUAGGCUGAAACUCGCCUACAUGAAGCUGGAGUUGCUAGUAAUCGCGAAUCAGCAUGUCGCGGUGAAUACGUUCCCGGGCCUUGUACACACCGCCCGUCACACCAUGAGAGUUGGCAAUACCCAACGUACGUGAUCUAACCCGCAAGGGAGGAAGCGUCCUAAGGUAGGGUCAGCGAUUGGGGUGAAGUCGUAACAAGGUAGC
rnacentral:rRNA from 1 species